UACGUAGGGGGGCAAGCGUUGUUCGGAAUUAUUGGGCGUAAAGGGCGCGUAGGCGGUUUGACAAGUCUGAUGUGAAAUCUCUGGGCUCAACCCAGAGUCUGCAUUAGAAACUGUCGGGCUUGAGUAUGGGAGAGGUGAGUGGAAUUUCCGGUGUAGCGGUGAAAUGCGUAGAUAUCGGAAGGAACACCUGUGGCGAAAGCGGCUCACUGGACCAUAACUGACGCUGAGGCGCGAAAGCUAGGGGAGCAAACAGG
rnacentral:rRNA from 1 species